CUUUCGUUCUGCCGGAAAUUUCACCAGAAACAUGACAUCAUAUGAAUCAACUGCACUUGUCUCGGGUGGUGGAUAGAGAAUCUGGAGGAAUAUCAGACUUGUACAUGUGUGAGAAUCGAAGGAUCGGUGGCAGCACAAGAAGAAGAGAAAGCUUGAAUGGCUUCAGCACAGCCACCGUGUGCUUGCGAAGAGAAAUAAAUCAUGAAUGUAUUUGAUUUUGAUGUCAUUUCUUGAUUAGUAGAGACGUCUCAAUGACUAUGAUGGGAAAAAGUUCUUUGCAAAUUUCGAAGAUGUCAUUCCGUAAGCAAUGAGGAAGCAAAACAUUUUCACGAAAAA